rnacentral:tRNA from 1 species
GGCGCAUUCGUCUAGUGGCCUAGGACGCCGCCCUCUCAAGGCGGAGAUCACGGGUUCGACCACCUUACACGCCG